AACACCGGGUUAAGUGGGAUUGUACUAGGUUGAGUUGAGUGUUUGUAUCAUUCCUCCAAUAAUAUACAAUCUGCUGCCUCCGUGGACGUACCCAAUUUUGGGGAACCACGUAAAUCUGUUGUUUGUGUUUUAUUUGUGUUUGCUUUCGGUCCAAUAUGCGCAACAAAUACACACAUCA